UGUCUGACAUGGGGGGACCACCCUCCAAGCCUAAGUACUCCUCAACGACCGAUAGCGAACAAGUACCGUGAGGGAAAGGUGAAAAGUACCCCGAUGAGGGGAGUGAAACAGACCUGAAACUGAAUGCCUACAAACAGUCGGAGCCAACAUGAUUGGUGACGGCGUACCUUUUGUAUAAUGGGUCAGCGAGUUAGUUUAUUGAGCAAGCUUAAGCCGUUAGGUGUAGGCGUAGCGAAAGCGAGUCUGAAUAGGGCGACUGAGUUCAAUGAAUUAGACCCGAAACCGGGUGAUCUAGCCAUGGGCAGGUUGAAGGUGCGGUAACACGCACUGGAGGACCGAACCCACCGAUGUUGAAAAAUCGGGGGAUGACCUGUGGCUAGGGGUGAAAGGCCAAUCAAACCCGGAUAUAGCUGGUUCUCCGCGAAAACUAUUUAGGUAGUGCGUCGUGUAUUACCACAGGGGGUAGAGCACUGGAUGGGCUAGGGGGGCGCGAGCCUUACCAAACCUAACCAAACUCCGAAUACCUGUGAGUACAGCACGGCAGACAGACCAUGGGUGCUAAGGUCCAUGGUCGAAAGGGAAACAGCCCAGACCAACAGCUAAGGUCCCCAAAUUGUGGCUAAGUGGGAAAGGAUGUGGGAAGGCCAAGACAGCCAGGAGGUUGGCUUAGAAGCAGCCAUCCUUUAAAGAAAGCGUAAUAGCUCACUGGUCUAAACAAGCCAGCCUGCGCCGAAGAUGUACCGGGGCUAAAGCCACAUACCGAAGCUUUGGACUUGCGUAAGCAAGUGGUAGCGGAGCGUUCCGUAAGUCUGUGAAGGUAAAGCGCGAGCUUUGCUGGAGAUAUCGGAAGCGAGAAUGCUGACAUGAGUAGCGAUAAAGAGUGUGAGAAACACUCUCGCCGAAAACCCAAGGGUUCCUGCGCAAGGUUAAUCCACGCAGGGUUAGUCGGCCCCUAAGGCGAGGGCGAAAGCCGUAGUCGAUGGGAACACGGUUAAUAUUCCGUGACCUGAAGAUAGUGACGGAUGCUGUAAGUUGUACAUGCUUAUCGGAUUGUGUGUGCAGCGAAAGUGUCCCAGGAAAUAGCUUCUUCAUUAAGACCGUACCCGAAACCGACACAGGUGGGUAGGUAGAGAAUACCGAGGCGCUUGGGAGAAUGGUGCUGAAGGAACUCGGCAAAUUGCCCCCGUAACUUCGGGAGAAGGGGGACCUCUAUUUGGGCAACCAGAUAGAGGUGGCACAGACUAGGGGGUGGCGACUGUUUAUUAAAAACACAGGGCUCUGCGAAGUGGUAGACACGACGUAUAGGGUCUGACGCCUGCCCGGUGCCGGAAGGUUAAGAGGAGUGGUGCAAGCUGCGAAUCGAAGCCCCGGUAAACGGCGGCCGUAACUAUAACGGUCCUAAGGUAGCGAAAUUCCUUGUCGGGUAAGUUCCGACCUGCACGAAUGGCGUAACGACUUCCCCGCUGUCUCCAGCACCAACUCAGCGAAAUUGAAUUCCCCGUGAAGAUGCGGGGUCCCGC
rnacentral:rRNA from 1 species